rnacentral:lncRNA from 1 species
ACACGCACACACACGUGUCCUUCCAGUUAUAGAUACACCUCUCUGGCCAAUAUACUCGACAGCACACGCAUCUGCUUACUCCCAGUCUGAAUGGUCGUACUUAGUCUUAUGAGCAGGCAUCCUCCUUCCCCAUCCCUGUAACAUACCGGGCUUUCGAUCGCAUGUGUCAGUUAUAACUUGGCUUUAAAAUGAAACAAGAUGCAAGUGAGGCUGAGUCAAACGUUUGGGGGAUUGCCAAGGAGAUUUCACCUAAGCUAAAAUAGGAGGGUGCACUUUUAUUUUUCCUUUCCUGUGUUACAGGGCUACUUUAAAUUCAAAACUAUUGUUUGCUAUUGGGUUACAAAAGGAACAGAAGUGGAGGAGGCAGCUGUAGAAAGCUCUUAGGAGAACCUGAUGUUAAGUGAUUUUCUGUUCCCUUCUUUCCU